UCCGAUUUGUCACCGGCAGUCUCCUAUGAGUCCCCGGCAUGACCCGUUGGCAACUGGAGACAAGGGUUGCGCUCGUUGCGGGACUUAACCCAACAUCUCACGACACGAGCUGACGACAACCAUGCACCACCUGUGAACCGACCGCAAGCGGGGCACCUGUUUCCAGGCAUUUCCGGUCCAUGUCAAGCCUUGGUAAGGUUCUUCGCGUUGCAUCGAAUUAAUCCGCAUGCUCCGCCGCUUGUGCGGGCCCCCGUCAAUUCCUUUGAGUUUUAGCCUUGCGGCCGUACUCCCCAGGCGGGGCACUUAAUGCGUUAGCUACGGCGCGGAAAACGUGGAAUGUCCCCCACACCUAGUGCCCAACGUUUACGGCAUGGACUAC
rnacentral:misc_RNA from 1 species